GGAGGGAUGGCAGAGCGGACGAAUGCGACGGUCUUGAAAACCGUUGGGCCGGCAACGGUCCCGGGGGUUCGAAUCCCCCUCCCUCCG
rnacentral:tRNA from 2 species